AGAUAAGGGACUUUUAAUGUUGUAGAAUUCCUUACUUUGUUUUAAAAAGGUAAAACACCGACAAUAUCUUGGAUAGCCUCGAAUUAGAUCUGCGCCUAAACCACUUCUACUUUUAGUAAACCACCUCAUCUAAAUAGGAAAAUCAAUAUGUAAUUGGAACUUGGAACGAGCAGAAUAAAUUUGGGAGGAAGUUUGCUGCAAAUCAUCCUACAUCACCAACAGCUGGGGGUACUGCGGAUUUGUGCAAUAAAUUGAAUUACGAGUUACUGUGCCACUGACAUUUAUUAUUAACUCAUUUUGUCAUGGUUUAUAUAUUUAGACCUGACUAAAUGGUUUUUCCAUAUCAGUUUGUGUUUGUUAUUCAGUUGUAGAAAAAAACAGUGCGCAAUCGGUAUUCCUAUACACGAGAUUAUCGUAGGCGAUAUAAAAGUGUGAAAAGUUUUCCACUGAACCAGAAUCUUCUAGAAAGUCUUGCAAGAUGUUUCGUUAUUGUGUAUUUGUUCUUCUGGUCUUUUUGGUGUUUGUCAACCAAGCGAUUUGCGGUAAAUAUGAAGACUGCGUUGAAAUUAAUGGGUGCCGUUUACAACCAAUGCAUUUACAAGCCGCUUGCCAUGGGGCCUGUGCAAGGCUAUACCUGCAGUAAAAGUUAAAAACUAACUAAAUAAAGUAAACUAUUUUCUUUUUCGAAGAGCUAAUAAAAAUAUUUGUUGCGA